AACGGGACAGACUACAGGAUUCCCCUAGUAACUGCGAGUGAAGCGGGAAAAGCUCAAAUUUAAAAUCUGGCAGUCUUUGGCUGUCCGAGUUGUAAUUUAGAGAAGCACUGCCGGUGCUGGACUGUGUACAAGUCUCCUGGAAUGGAGCAUCAUAGAGGGUGAGAAUCCCGUAUAUGACACAGUUGCCAGGGCUUAGUGGCCUGCUCUCCAAGAGUCGAGUUGUUUGGGAAUGCAGCUCAAAAUGGGUGGUAAAUUCCAUCUAAAGCUAAAUACAGGCGAGAAACCGAUAGCGAACAAGUACCGUGAGGGAAAGAUGAAAAGAACUUUGGAAAGAGAGUUAAACAGUACGUGAAAUUGUUGAAAGGGAAACGCUUGAAGUCAGUCACAUUGCUGGAAAUCACACUUGCUUUCAUUGCUUGUGGCUCUUUCCUAGUAAUGGGUCAGCAUCAGUUUUGAUUGUUGGACAAGGGUUAGAGGAAUGUGGCAUCCUUGGAUGUGUUAUAGCCUCUGAUCAUAUGCAAUGAUGGAGACUGAGGAACUCGGCACUUUUGUGCUUAGGAUGCUGGCAUAAUGGCUUUAAUCGACCCGUCUUGAAACACGGACCAAGGAGUCUAACAUGCCUGCGAGUGUUUGGGUGGAAAACUCAAGCGCGCAAUGAAAGUGAAAGUUGAGACCCUUGUCAUGGGGGGCAUCAACGCCCGGACCUGAGCUGCUGUGACGGUUCUGCGGUAGAGCAUGUAUGUUGGGACCCGAAAGAUGGUGAACUAUGCCUGAAUAGGGUGAAGCCAGAGGAAACUCUGGUGGAAGCUCGUAGCGAUUCUGACGUGCAAAUCGAUCGUCGAAUUUGGGUAUAGGGGCGAAAGACUAAUCGAACCAUCUAGUAGCUGGUUCUGCCGAGUUUCCUCAGGAAACGUAAACACCAAGCUACUAGAUGGUUCGAUUAGUCUUUCCCCUAUACCAAAUUCGACGAUCGAUUGCACGUCAGAUCGCUACGAGCUUCCACAGAGUUUCUUCUGGCUGCCCUAUUCAGGCAUAGUCCAUCUUUCGGUCAAUCAUAGGUCUACGCAAACGUACGAGCCAGUCGCUGAAUGCAUGACGUCCAAGUACUUUACUUUGCUGAGUUUUCAACUGCGCGCAGAUAGAAUCUGGUCUGA
rnacentral:rRNA from 1 species